UACGUAGGAGGCAAGCGUUGUCCGGAAUUACUGGGUGUAAAGCGCGUGUAGGCGGCAGGCCAAGUCUGUGGUGAAAUCCCACGGCUCAACCGUGGAAGUGCACUCGAAACUGCGCAGCUAGAGUCCUGGAGAGGAAGGUGGAAUGCUUGGUGUAGAGGUGAAAUUCGUAGAUAUGGGGAGGAACACCGGUGGCGAAGGCGGCCAUCUGGACGGUAACUGACGCUGAGACGCGAAAGCGUGGGGAGCAAACAGG
rnacentral:rRNA from 1 species